UACGAGGGGGGCAAGCGUUGUUCGGAAUCAUUGGGCGUAAAGGGCGCGUAGGCGGUCUGAUAAGUCUUGUGUGAAAUCUCUGGGCUCAACCCAGAGUCUGCAUAGGAAACUGUCGGGCUUGAGUAUGGGAGAGGUGCGUGGAAUUUCCGGUGUAGCGGUGAAAUGCGUAGAUAUCAGGAGGAACACCGAUGGCGAAGGCAGGUCUCUGGGCUGACACUGACGCUCAGGCACGAAAGCGUGGGGAGCAAACAGG
rnacentral:rRNA from 1 species